rnacentral:rRNA from 1 species
AGAGUUUGAUCCUGGCUCAGAACGAACGCUGGCGGCAGGCUUAACACAUGCAGUCGAGCGCCUCGCAAGAGGAGCGGCAGACGGGUGAGUAACGCGUGGGAAUCUACCCAUCUCUACGGAACAACUCCGGGAAACUGGAGCUAAUACCGUAUACGUCCUUCGGGAGAAAGAUUUAUCGGAGAUGGAUGAGCCCGCGUUGGAUUAGCUAGUUGGUGGGGUAAUGGCCUACCAAGGCGACGAUCCAUAGCUGGUCUGAGAGGAUGAUCAGCCACACUGGGACUGAGACACGGCCCAGACUCCUACGGGAGGCAGCAGUGGGGAAUAUUGGACAAUGGGCGCAAGCCUGAUCCAGCCAUGCCGCGUGAGUGAUGAAGGCCCUAGGGUUGUAAAGCUCUUUCAACGGUGAAGAUAAUGACGGUAACCGUAGAAGAAGCCCCGGCUAACUUCGUGCCAGCAGCCGCGGUAAUACGAAGGGGGCUAGCGUUGUUCGGAAUUACUGGGCGUAAAGCGCACGUAGGCGGAUUGUUAAGUUAGGGGUGAAAUCCCAGGGCUCAACCCUGGAACUGCCUUUAAUACUGGCAAUCUCGAGUCCGAGAGAGGUGAGUGGAAUUCCGAGUGUAGAGGUGAAAUUCGUAGAUAUUCGGAGGAACACCAGUGGCGAAGGCGGCUCACUGGCUCGGUACUGACGCUGAGGUGCGAAAGCGUGGGGGAGCAAACAGGAUUAGAUACCCUGGUAGUCCACGCCGUAAACUAUGAGAGCUAGCCGUCGGCAAGUUUACUUGUCGGUGGCGCAGCUAACGCAUUAAGCUCUCCGCCUGGGGAGUACGGUCGCAAGAUUAAAACUCAAAGGAAUUGACGG